rnacentral:lncRNA from 1 species
UCCUGGUCUGGGAAGGGCUUGAUCUUGUCCCUAAGUUUGCUGGCAGUUGAAUGGCAGGCCCCAGACCUCUGUGCAGGAGAAACCCUUACUGUUCUGGAAGCUGAGGGUACCAUGUGAAGAGAGACCGUGGAGCCUGGCAACCCCAAUGGCAGCUGGCACCCCUGCCUUCCCAGGUGCGACGAGAUCCAGGGCACCAGUUCCUACCACCGCCUGUGUUGAGGGACAGUGCAGCAUCACACAGGCUGCUCUGAGACCCGCUGCAGCAGGCCAGGGUCUGGGGCAAGAAGGCAGGAUGGUCCUUGAGAUUCCUGCCUCUUUUGAGACUCAAGACUGCACAGCAUGGAAGACAGCAUGCAUGAAGCCAACCACAGGAGAGAGUUGGUGUGUCAAGGAGGCAAGUGUACAUGGCCUAUAGCUCAUGUAGCUGGCCUGGAUCACACAUGUGGCCCCCUAAUAGCCUGGAGCUCCUGCCAGCAGGUCCUACGGGAUACAAGGAAAGUGUGCACCUUGACAGGACUGAAGGCUGGUGAGGUAGCAGUGGUGCAGAGGGGUCACUGAAGCACCCUGCCUGAACACUGGUCCUGAGCCCCUUGCUAGCCUCCAGGAACUGUGUGGGAGCCACCAUUCACCAUGCCCCUUUGCACAGGCCUGUCCUCUGGACCUUCAGCCCUAUAAGCAGCAGGUGCUCAACACUCACCUCUUUCAGAGUGGCCCAGAGAAGCUAGGCUGUGGAGUAGGUAAAGCAUCCAUUCCCACUAUGUCUGAAGACAAGAAUGGCCAUCUUCUGGGCCAUGGAGCACAGCAAACACACUAGGAUCAUCACCACCAGAGAGGUGGAGAGAGGCUGGGCUGGAGUCCUCUGAGUCCCCCUUGUGUUGCAGCUGGCUAAGCUGGAAACAGCCCUUCCUGACUAGAACAGGAGCUGCAGACACGGGAAGAAGGUGACCCAAAAGGCCCGUGUGUUCUUAAAGAGCAUAGGUCAAGGGUGUUGCUGGUCUGCUAGACAGGCUGAUGAAAAGCACUGACUUCCACAAGUGUUAUUGUACCUGCCAAAGCUGUAGGACAGCAAAACAGCUGAGCAUUGGUGCAGAUCUACCACGCAUGGGAGCUGCAGAUGAGUUGUGGGCAAAGGGUCAGUGUGAUCAGAAUGCCUGGGGGGGGGAGCUGAGCUGAGACCCCCAAACCUGACUUCUCUAGCUCCACUGCCUUUGAUGGCUUCCCUGUCUCUUAAUCUAGCAGACAGUGCAAGCCCCGCCUCUGGGCAGUGUUCAGGAGGCCGGCCAGGUUCUCAAGCCUCAAGCCAACGCCCCAGCCAUGGCCCCAGGGUAGCCUCAGACUUUCUGCCCUGCAGGGUGUCUCCCACGCAUCUCCCUGGUCCAGGACAGCAGCUCCAUCUCCUCGGUAGGCCAGUGGCGCCUAUUUCUGGCUCAGGCAGAU